CCUACGGGAGGCAGCAGUAGGGAAUAUUGCUCAAUGGGGGAAACCCUGAAGCAGCAACGCCGCGUGGAGGAUGAAGGUUUUCGGAUUGUAAACUCCUUUUGUUAGAGAAGAUAAUGACGGUAUCUAACGAAUAAGCCCCGGCUAACUCCGUGCCAGCAGCCGCGGUAAUACGGAGGGUGCAAGCGUUACUCGGAAUCACUGGGCGUAAGGAGCGCGUAGGCGGGAUAGCAAGUCAGAUGUGAAAUCCUAUGGCUUAACCAUAGAACUGCAUUUGAAACUGUUAUUCUAGAGUAUGGGAGAGGUAGGUGGAAUUCUUGGUGUAGGGGUAAAAUCCGUAGAGAUCAAGAGGAAUACUCAGUGCGAAGGCGACCUGCUAGAACAUAACUGACGCUGAUGCGCGAAAGCGUGGGGAGCAAACAGGAUUAGAUACCCGAGUAGUC
rnacentral:rRNA from 1 species